rnacentral:misc_RNA from 1 species
UCCUCUUUUGUGAGAGGCAGUUUCAUUAGAGUGAUACAACUAAUGAUGGGGGUUGCGCUCGUUGUGGGACUUAACCCGACAUCUCACGACACGAGCUGACGACAGCCAUGCAGCACCUGUGUAAGCUGCCUUGCGGCUUGUUUUUCUUUCAAAAUUCUAAUACUUACAUGUCAAACCCUGGUGAGGUUCUUCGUUUUGUCUCGAAUUAAACCACACGUUCCCCUGCUUGUGCGGGUCCCCGUCAAUUCCUUUGAGUUUUAGCCUUGCGACCGUACUCCCCAGGCGGGAUACUUAACGCGUUAGCUUACGACACUACCGGGGUCAAUACCGAUAAUAUCUAGUAUCCAUCGUUUACGGCGUGGACUA